AGUGAACGCUGGCGGUAUGCCUAACACAUGCAAGUCGAACGGCAGCACAGUAAGAGCUUGCUCUUACGGGUGGCGAGUGGCGGACGGGUGAGGAAUACAUCGGAAUCUUCUUUUUCGGGGGGGAUAACGUAGGGAAACUUACGCUAAUACCGCAUACGACCUACGGGUGAAAGCAGGGGAUCUUCGGACCUUGCGCGAUUGUAUGAGCCGAUGUCGGAUUAGCUAGUUGGCGGGGUAAAGGCCCACCAAGGCGACGAUCCGUAGCUGGUCUGAGAGGAUGAUCAGCCACACUGGAACUGAGACACGGUCCAGACUCCUACGGGAGGCAGCAGUGGGGAAUAUUGGACAAUGGGCGCAAGCCUGAUCCAGCCAUACCGCGUGGGUGAAGAAGGCCUUCGGGUUGUAAAGCCCUUUUGUUGGGAAAGAAAAGCAGCAGGUUAAUACCCCGCUGUUCUGACGGUACCCAAAGAAUAAGCACCGGCUAACUUCGUG
rnacentral:rRNA from 1 species